UACGAAGGGGGCUAGCGUUGCUCGGAAUCACUGGGCGUAAAGCGCACGUAGGCGGAUCGUUAAGUCGGAGGUGAAAUCCUGGAGCUCAACUCCAGAACUGCCUUCGAUACUGGCGAUCUUGGAGUCCGGGAGAGGUGAGUGGAACUCCGAGUGUAGAGGUGAAAUUCGUAGAUAUUCGGAAGAAACACCAGUGGCGAAGGCGGCUCACUGGACCGGCAUUGACGCUGAGGUGCGAAA
rnacentral:rRNA from 1 species